GCAUUUGUGGUUCAGUGGUAGAAUUCUCAAUUUCCGUAUGGGAGACCCAGGUUUGAUUCCCAGCCAAUGCA
rnacentral:tRNA from 1 species